rnacentral:rRNA from 1 species
CAGCAGCCGCGGUAAUACAGAGGGUGCAAGCGUUAAUCGGAUUUACUGGGCGUAAGGGCGCGUAGGUGGUUAUGUAAGUGAGAUGUGAAAUCCCCGGGCUCAACCUGGGAACUGCAUCUUAUACUGCGUAGCUGGAGUGCAGUAGAGGGUAGUGGAAUUUCCGGUGUAGAGGUGAAAUUCGUAGAUAUUGGGAAGAACACCAGUGGCGAAGGCGGCUCACUGGACCGACACUGACGCUGAGGCGCGAAAGCGUGGGGAGCAAACAGGAUUAGAUACCCGCGUAGUCCCUGUCUCUUAUACA